AUGAAGAGGAGGUUGAAGUGCUGGCUGAAAAUGCAAGAAAUCAGAGAGGCUGCUACCAGAAAAUGUGUGAUCGGAGGGAGAGAGCGCCGGCGGUUUGAGCCGGAAAUUAAGGGAGGUGGUACGGUGGUCAAGGGCGGAGGAGGUGGUGGCUCCGGUCACUGGCGGUGGUGGCUAGCAGAAUCGGAUCGAUGGAAGAAAAGAGGGAAGCAGAUUUGA